AGCCCAUGGUGUGGGCAAAUCCUCAACAUGUCUUUAUAUCUCUCCCAUGCUUCGAAAAGUGAUUCGAUGUCUUUUUGCCUAAAUUCGUUGAUUUGCCUUCUUAGCAU